rnacentral:antisense_RNA from 1 species
GACUUUGGACUCACGUAGGCAUAGGAGAACGAAACUUCUGUACAUUUUAAUCUGAAUAAUUCUUCAGGAUUUAAAAUUAAUUGGCUCUGGCUUGGUUGGACCGUACUCGGAUCUCGCCACCUCUGCGUUUCCCGAGUCACUGGCGAAGAGGUCCCAGUUCCUCUGGGAAUCAUCCUGUAUGCAACAUCUUCACAAGAGUGGCAGGCAGUUGAAUCUCUGGCCUUCGUGGGACCACUGGACAUCUGGCAGAGAACCAGGAAACCACGGUUCCCUUCUGUGAGUCCCUCAGCCGGAAAACUACAAGAAUGAAAAAAAUGCAUGGCAUACAUCACCAAGAAUCAAAGGUUGUGCCUGGCAGUGUAAUUGACUAUGUAAUAAAGAGAGAAGCUUUGCUAGCUCCUCAUGCAGCUGCUGUCUGCAGACCCCCUGGACUGCCUGGGGAAGUGAGUCGGAGCUCCUGCAGCAGAGGGGUGGAACAGCUACACGAAGAUCCGAAGGUGGCCAAAAAUAACAGCGCUUUCCAGAUGAGGGAGCAAGUUGUCCAGCACAGUGUCAUGGGACAGUGGGCCCUGGUGCCACAAUGCCUGGCAUCUCCACCAGAUACAGCUUUGAGAUCUUCAUGAUGAAGCUUGCUCCAAUCCAAGGGCUGUCAGGUGGGGUUUGCGGUUCAGCUGCUAACCUUUCUUUGAUCCAAAUCCUGUCUUCACUGGCUUCAAGAAUCCUGUCUUCACUGGCUUCAAAACUGGGAUGAAGGAGGCUCCUUAGUGGAGAGCAAAGCAAAGAGAAACUCAAAUUGGAUUCAUAUUAAAGAAGAGAAGGAUGGAUUUGUUUAGACAACACAAACCUAGGAAGGGUUUGAGGGGUGAAACAAACUGGGUUAUGGAUGAACGGGGGCAAUUGGAAUGUAGAAUUGAAACAGUAGUUAACAUCUUGGUAAGUUACCCACCAUAAAAUGCUUUAGAGCAA